rnacentral:tRNA from 1 species
GGGGCCAUAGCUCAGCUGGGAGAGCGCAACACUGGCAGUGUUGAGGUCGGCGGUUCGAUCCCGCUUGGCUCCACCA